GCCCCUCAACUCGUCUAAUAUAAGAAUGAGACAUACAAUACCCCUUCACGCAUGUACGAAAGAGACGGCCAAUCUAAUUUGGAAGCAACCGACUAAACGCCAUAUUUGAAAAAUUUGAAACCUUCCAAACUGUGUUUCGUACUCGCGUCGCGAUUAAUUUUCGAAUUUCGCCAAGUUUUUUGCAUUUGGUAUUGUUUUUAUUAUUACAAAAAGUGAACGGGAAUUGUGAUAAAUUACGGUUGUGCAUGAAAAGUGUUAAGUUUUAUAGGAAAAUCGUGAGUAAAAAGUGAAAAUUCGUCGGCGUUCGUGAAGAAAUGUUUGUUGAAAGUGACGGUGACGAGUGUUUGACUGACGGCAUUUUUUGACAUUUCUUUGUGGUAGUUAUGGAAUUUUAUGGAUUUGCCGGUGAUUGGAGGACAUAAACCAGUGUUAAUAGUGUUGUGAAAUACUGAAAACCAUUAGAGUUUAGGUGGAAAGUGAUAAAGUGCAAGAAUUUGUAUUGAACAAGUGACUACCCAUGGAUGUGUACACGGAGAGUAGUGGCGUUGAUACGUCGCCCGAUAUGAAUUCCAGUGUGGAAAUCAGUUCGCCGGAUCGCAUGAAGGCUGUUUUGCCGAGAAAAUUGACAUUCGGACUGUCGCCCGAAGGGGAUACCAAUGAUAUUAGCAAACAAUAUAAUGCCGCAAACUUGGUGCUUAGCCCGAGGAAGCAGCCUUCAAUUUCGCCACCGUACAGAAGAGUACGGGCGUUGAGGCUCUUCGACACGCCCGCUACACCAAAAACAAUAAUGCAAAAAUCAACGGCAGCCAAAUGCCCCAAAUUUCUUUACAAUCACGAGAAUGCAAACUUGGAUUUCGUGCCGGCAAUGGUACGCGAGGCACCGGGUAAUGUUCUGUGCGAUCGGCCUCGGUGUUUUCCCCUUCACAAUCAAGCCUUCGAUAAUGUGAUGAACGCAGCCAACAUUAACCCUUUUACACCAAAUAGUCUCCUUAUGCAAAACAAGAAACGAUCCCGGACGCAACUCGGUCGGGAAAACCUUCAUAACAACUCCCUGCCGACGAAUGCGUUCCGUGAACGACAGCAGAAUUUUGCGAAAUAUUCCGACGAUGAAGAUUUGCCGGAGGUGCAUCAAGCACCGAAACGACUUGCAUUGCAGGACUCAAAUAUUAGCCGAUAUGCUAAGGAAUUCGUUGAGAUUUCAUUAAUAGGUGUGGGGGAAUUCGGUUUAGUUUAUCAGUGCCUGAAUCGUUUAGAUGGCUGCGUUUACGCAAUCAAGAAGAGUAUAAAACCUGUAGCUGGAAGUUCGUUCGAGAAGACUGCUUUGAAUGAAGUAUGGGCUCAUGCCGUGCUCGGGAAACACGACAAUGUCGUCCGAUACUACUCAGCUUGGGCCGAGGAUAAUCACAUGCUCAUUCAGAACGAAUACUGCAAUGGUGGCAGCUUACAAGCUUUCAUUCAGAAACGUUUCCUGGUCGAAUCAGAGCUACGGACGUUGCUCCUACACAUUGCUGAGGGGUUAAAGUACAUCCACUCGAACGGGCUGGUGCACAUGGACCUGAAAUCCGGCAACAUAUUUUUGACUAAGGUUCCUGCACGGCCUGCAUCAACGACCGACAGUUAUGAUGACGGCUUCGAGGACGUUUACGAUGAAGUGGAAAGUGCUGAGUAUAUUAUUACGUAUAAAAUUGGUGAUUUAGGUCAUGUGACAUCGGUGAAGGAUCCCCAAGUGGAGGAGGGCGAUUGUCGAUAUCUACCGAAGGAAAUAUUGCAGGAGGACUUCAAGCACUUGUUUAAGGCGGAUAUAUUUUCGCUUGGCAUGACAUUAUAUGAAGCAGCAGGAGGUGGUCCGUUGCCGAAAAAUGGACCCGAGUGGCACAAGUUCCGGGAGGGCGACUUUCCAGAUUUACCAAAUUUAAGCAAAGAUUUUAAUUCUUUGAUCAAACUGAUGACCCAUCCGGAUCCAGAGUGCAGGCCGUCGUCGACUUCGAUAUUCAACCAUGCGAUACUGAACCCCAUUGAGUCGAAAACAAAGGCACAACUCAGUCAUGAAUUGGCUGUCGAACGGCAGAAAAAUGAACUUCUGCUCAGGAAACUGAAGGAAGCAAAGAAGAUCCUGAAAUCAUACGAACAAUCAAAGACACCUGUUACCAAAAGGCUAAAACAUCAAUCACCAACUGUUUCAGAUCGUCAAUUGCGCUCGUAUACGCGAAAAACCCAACGACCUGUACUAAGUCGCAGUCGACGCGGUCUUCGUGAUAAAAACAAAAACGUUAUUGACGACAGAGUUUUUUCGUAUUCAAUACACCAAACUCAUGAAUAGAAUACAAGAAAGUGGCACAAACAAUUCACAUAUCUGAUUGAAUUCUUCUUUUUAAGUGAACUGAAAACAAUUCCAUAAUAACAUAUAAAACAUUUAUACAUACGUAUCUAUAUAUUUAUUCAGAGCAAUAAGAUAUUUUAGAAGAAUACGAAAAAGAGUUUCCAGGAUGGGGAUGAGUAUUUGGAUUUAGUUUGGAUGAAAGUAUUUUAUGUUAUCCGAUUAUUUAUAUAUUAAGAAUUAAAAGCUAAUUUUGUCACCGACAAAAUUUAUAUUUCAGAUAAUAAUUUCAUAGUUCAUACAAAUUGCUUAUCUCCUUUGAAUUCCAACAUUUCGCGUUGCAUACAUAGUCCUUUCUAACAAAAAUGUCAUCCUAAGUUGAAUUAAAAUUUAAUAACUUAUCCUCUCAUUGCAUUUAAUCUGAUCUUGAGCAAUAUAAUUAUAUUCAUUCUCAUUUAAGUUGAGGCUCCAUAUUGGGAUAAAGUAGCAAAGAAAUGAAGCCUUUCUGACUACGAAUCUCUUUUUUUUCCUACAUCAAUUUUCCAAUCAUCAGCCUUGGUGCACAUAGGGAUAAAAAAAGUUUGUUCAAAUUAUAAUAAAAACAAACAUUUAGAACCGAAGUAUAUACAGUUAUUAUGUGGAAAUUAUGCCAUUUAUUUAUUGUGAUUUAAAUUAGAUUUGAUGUGUAGUUUUAGCUUUAGUUGUUAGUUUUUAAUUUUCAUUAUGUUUAUUUUAGGCAAAAUAAAAAUAAUAGUGAAAAAUACUUUGUCAGAACCAUUGAUUUAUGAAAUUAUUUGAAGGGAAGUGGAGUUAUUAAGUUUGUAGUUUCUUUUACAUCGUAUUUUUGAUUAUUAUGAUAUUAAGUUCUAUUUUAUUUGUAGGAGAAUGUAUAUGUACAUAUUCUAUUUUCUUCCCCAUCGAAUAUAUGAAUAUUCAUUCAUUUGUUUUAUUCCUUAAAUGAAAAGUCAGAAACGAAAGAAAAUUAAAUCAAACUGAACCACCGUGCUGUGUAGACUUGAGAACCUCCUAACCAAGUAAUUUAAGUUAAUUCUAGUUUAUUUUAACUUUUCUAGAAAUGCUCAGUCUCAGAUUCUAUUUUCUGAAAAUGACCUUUCUCACAACCUUGCUAUUCUACAACCAUAAAUCUACAUGAUCUACAUCCUUUGUAAAUUGCACACAAAAAAUAAAUAACAAACAUAUAUUACUCUUAAAUGUUAUUUAUUUUGAAAUAAAAUGACUACGCAUUAUUUCAAAAGCAACAUGAAAGUCUGUCAAUGAUUUUUUUUGUUGAAUUAUUUCUUUUUCGUUGAUGAGAAGUUAACGAAAAUUUGGAGAAAAACAGGUUUCAUAACGUAAGCUCAAAACUUUCAGCAUGCGUAUCAAGAUUCGAUGAAUAGAGACCUAUAAGUUAAUGUUGCUUAUGUAUUUCAUCAGAAGCAUGAAUCUACUUUGACAAUAAUAUAAAUUAGGAUAUAUGAAUUAUCCUAAUUUCAAUAAUUAGUAAGCAUAUCGAAAACAUAUAUCGUUCACAUAAAUACAAAGAGCUAAUGUAUUUUGAAUCUAUUUUUAUAAAGAAAUGUAAUAAAUGUUCUAUGUAUACAAAUAGGGUCAUAAUAAAGUCAGAUUAUAGAUCUCAA
rnacentral:misc_RNA from 1 species